AUUUCAGAAAUUAACUUUUAAUAGGGCACACCUGUUAAUUGAAAUGCAUUCCAGGUGAGACUACCUUAUGAUGCUGGCUGAGAGAAUUCCAAGAGUGUGCAAAGCUGUCAUCAAGGAAAGGAUGGCUACUUUGAAGAAUCUCUAAUAUAAAAUAUAUUUUGGUUUGUUUAACAUUUGUUUGGGUUACUACAUGAUUCCAUAUGUUAUUUCAUAGUUUUGAUGUCUUCACUAUUAUUCUACAAUGUAGAAAAUAGUAAAGGUAAAGAAAAACCCUUGAAUGAGUAGGUGUGUCCAAACCUUUGACUGCUAUCAUUAUGAAUGUUUUUACCUGUAACCAGUAACAACUUGUCUUUCAUGUCCUCGCCUCAUUCCCACUGUGUCCGCUGACAGAAGGCCUGACCGAGAAUCCUCUAUUCUGCAAGCUCCUGGUAACGCUGUUACAGCAUGUGGACCGCCUCAGCCUUACUGUUACACUGAAGAGAGAGCUGGAGAAGGCUGAGAGAGACCUGCAGACAGAGGCUUAAUGGGCUGUGUUCAGAGAGCCUGUACAGGCUACUGCAGGAGAUGAUCCAGGAGCACUGUGUCAGAAAGCAUCACUCCACUGUGCCUCCAGAGGACGACACUGUACAAUACAGAACAGUACUCAUUGCUCAUUGCUGAAUGGACUCUACUAUACAUAACUCUAGACUGCUCUAUUCUUGUUGUGUGUCUGGCAGAGCAACACACAGUACACUUAGUACCAUAAUCCCUCUUUAAGGUUACAUCUAUUAAUGCACAAAUAAUGUAUAUAGGCCUAGAUACAAGUAGAUCAUUGGUGAAGUAGUUUGACCACCCAAGUGAAUUUGAUUUCCAAAAGGUUACUUUUUGUUUACAUUGAUCCUCCAAAGUACUGUAUAAUGUUAGAAUAAACCUAAAUCUUGUUUCCCCCUGGCAGUUUUAUGAGACUGUGGAGCAGUGUCUGGUGGUGGCCCAGUGUGUCAGGUAGUUGGACCCUAGUGACACCACCAGCCAGGACCAACCUCCUGUCCUAGGACUGAGUGUCCAACAGGUGCUGUAGCUGAUGCCACAAGAGGAGUAAGGGGGGCCCGGAAAAAAAAAGAACCAAGGCUCCAAAAACACCCAGAUAGAGGGUGAGAGUGAAAGGCUGAAGAACAUGAAGCUGUCUCGCUUGUCUGCCCUUCUGGAAAGCGAAAGGAAAAGAGCAGAGAGUCUGAAGGGGAAUAGCCGUGAGUGCCGCCCUGCUGCAAAAGCAGACUCCCUGCUACCUCUCUGUAAGAGACUCUCAACACUUGGUUUGAUGUAUUCUUAGGUUUGUCUCACGUGUUGCGACCUUCACUCACGAUCGACGUGUUUUCUCCAGGAGCUGUUAGGAUGCAUUCAGAUUCUCCAGUCACUUAUCCUUGACCACAGGCUAAAAGCCCAGAAAUAACUUGACAGGAAACAGUUUGAGUACUUUGAGGCCAAAUGUGAGAUCAUCAUGCAGAAGAUCAGGUGUGAUUAGCCCCUCCUGUUUACAUCUACUCUACACUGGGCUCCUUCAGAUGCAGUUGACUGUUAAUGAGUGUGAGAAAUUGGUAUUUCAUGCAUGUCCAUCAGCAAUGUUCCGUUUUCGUGUCUCUUUUACAUUUCUUAAAUAUGUCUCUUCACAACAGAGGAGAUAUGUUGGAAAUUCAGCUGGACACCAACACAGCAGACACAAUGUCAGCCUAUAGAAUAACAAGGUGAGUCAAAUGCUGCCCAGCAACUCAAUGUCAUUAUCAUAUCAACCACUCUGGGGGCUCUCAACACCUACUCGUCAUUCCCACUCAUGUUGUUCUUUUUGACAGCUUUGUUCAUCUACUAUGCCUUUCCUUGCCUAAACAUCAGAUGGUUACCAUGGUUACUACAUGAAUAUCAGUCUGAAAGAAGUCGCUGUAAAAAAUACUCAUUAUUCUUUACAAGGCAGAAUAUUAAAUAAAAUUAUAUUUACACUUACUUUACCGGUUGUGCAUGCUGUCGGUCCUUUUGGCGGUAGGUGGAGAUAGGGUAUCCACAGGAAAGCGUUGUUUACCAGACUUUUUGCGCCGCCAAUAGGUUCUGUCACUUGUAUUUUUAAUCUGUUGACACAUUGCACUUGAUGACCGAAGCACAUUUCCUGGCAAUCAACUGUUAGUGUUUGUCAUUUGUUUAGGCUCGCCAAUAUUGUGCAAGUCUUUGUCACGUGCAAAUUGUAACAGGAAUGAAAAUGAAAACCGGAAAUACAAACUAUAUACAGACAUAGCCGUGGAAAGUAGUUUGGGGGUGCAGUGAUUUAUUAAAUGUUUUAUGCCAUGGGGGGAAAGAUGAAUUGCCCCCACUGAAGAAGUCUGUAUCGAUCCACUAAUACAGGACUAGUAAAGGCCCAGUGCACUACUUUUGUUAAACUGUUUUAACUAAAUGUAUUUGAGUGUUUUCCAGCAUUUGUAACUUGAGUCUGAUAAUUAUCUGUACAAAAGUUAAUCUGCUAAUAAAAAUACUUGCUUGAUA